rnacentral:rRNA from 2 species
UGGGGAAUAUUGGACAAUGGGCGCAAGCCUGAUCCAGCCAUACCGCGUGGGUGAAGAAGGCCUUCGGGUUGUAAAGCCCUUUUGUUGGGAAAGAAAAGCAAUCGAUUAAUACCCGGUUGUUCUGACGGUACCCAAAGAAUAAGCACCGGCUAACUUCGUGCCAGCAGCCGCGGUAAUACGAAGGGUGCAAGCGUUACUCGGAAUUACUGGGCGUAAAGCGUGCGUAGGUGGUUGUUUAAGUCUGUUGUGAAAGCCCUGGGCUCAACCUGGGAAUUGCAGUGGAUACUGGGCAACUAGAGUGUGGUAGAGGGUAGUGGAAUUCCCGGUGUAGCAGUGAAAUGCGUAGAGAUCGGGAGGAACAUCCAUGGCGAAGGCAGCUACCUGGACCAACACUGACACUGAGGCACGAAAGCGUGGGGAGCAAACAGG